rnacentral:rRNA from 1 species
ACUUACGGCCACACCACUGUGACAACGUCCGAUCCUGUCUGAUCUCGGACGCUAACCGUGGUCGGGCCCGGUUAGUACUUGGAUGGGAGACCCCCUGGGAAUACCUGGUGCUGUAGGGG